AUUCUAUUAAUGGGCUUUACAUUGCCUAACACUUUCUUAUCUUUUUCAGAGACAACAUUAGCUUUGCUUCGACAUCCAGAUUGUUGUAUUUCUGCCUACUCAUUGUGGAUGUAAAACGGACUAUAGAAGAUGGGGAGAACGUUUCAAUAACUUUCAAUUGAGGGAGGGUAAAUUUGAUGAAGAGACACUUGUCAUGUAAACAUUUAGAGGGAAAAACGCCAGCCAGAGAUCAAAGGGUUUCAGCAAUGAGUAUAUUGUGAUUACAAUUCUGGUUGCUGCUGAGGGUGUAUAUAAGCUACCUGUUAUUAAUGGGAGUGCAGACUUGAAGGAGGCACUGCAAAAGCUGGCAUCUAUACCUUCCCGCCAAACUCUGGCUGUCGAGGUGCUGUGGACCCCAGAAUGAAACUGGCACACUUUCAGAGGGGAGCUGCUUGAAGACUACCCCCUCUUGAGGCCGUUGUAAGGGGAAUUAUUUGUUCUGUCUGUAAGGUGCUCUGAGCUGCUCUUUAUAGCCAUGUGGUUCAUGUAAACAAAAAAUGUUAAUAGAUAAGCAUGCCCAAAUUCUAGGAUAUGCAGUCUCACAAAAUGGAGGAUUUUUCUAAUAGAGGACCUGUAGAACUCUUGCGACAGUCAUUUGUUACAAUAUGUUAGGUUUUGGAGCACUGCUAGCAUACCAGUAAUAUGUGAGUGUAGUUAUUCAUAUUCUUGGCUUGGUUUUGUUGAUUCUAA